UUUACUUUGGAAACAGAUUUGUAUUGAUCAACACUGUCAAGGCAUGUAGGUGCAGGUUAUUCAGUUAAUGAGUUCUUCUCUAAGAAAUAUCAUACAAGGAAUAUCAUUUUUCUUCAUAUUCCUCAAAGGAAUGUCCUCAACAUCUCUAGCAAGCUGACCUACUGCUAUUCUUCUUGGCCUCUUCUCCUGGGUAACAGUGAUAGGCUGAGAGGUAAUGGCCUCAAGUUGCACCAGGGGAGGUUCAGGUUGGAUAUUAGGAAGAAUUCCUUCACAGAAAGAGUGGUGCUGCAUUGGCACAGGCUGUCCAGGGAGGUAGUGGGGUCACUGUCCCUGGAGGUGUUCAAGAACUGUGAGAAUGUGACACUGAGGGACAGGAUUUAGUGGCAGUGUUAGUGGUAGGUGGAAGGUAGGAGUUGAUCUUAGAUGUCUUUUCUAACCAUAAUGAUUCUAUGAUUUGUGAUGGUGUUGUUCUGAUUUCCAUCCUCAGGUUCAUCUCUUAUUUCCUUCUGUGAUGCGGAGAGUGGAAGUGGUUUCUUGGUUAUGGCUCAUGCCUUUAUUCUAAAUAUACCCCUGGUUUAUCACUGGGAGAUUUAUGCACUGGAAAUCAAGAUUAUCUGUGCACUGUUUUCAGAGGCUAUGGCAAAAGACUGCCACUAGAAUCUCCUGACCAGAAAACCAUGGAGAGAUGGGUAGUUGGAGAGGCUCUGUCCUUUGCUUCCAUGUUGGGUUCAUCCUGGCUCUGGUCUACCACUGAGGGUAGCUCUGUUGGCUAUGAUUCAGACGUACGUACAAAAGAAAAAUAAUAAUAAUUAAAACAAAAGAAAUUGUCUUGCUAUUUGAACAGGAAAUUGCAGUUUAUUGUUGUGCUCAUUUAAAUGCUCAGUGACAAUUACUCCCAACAGAUGAUCUUGCAAUGAAAAGGAUUAAACAGCGAAACCAUGUACCUUUGGGGAAAAAAGCAACAUACAUUGAUUUAAACAGUUGUCAAACAGAUCUGAGAUGUGCAAUAGGAUUUGAGAGCUGAAUCAAAGUGUAAUUACCAAGAAUGUAAUAGUUAUAGUCAUUGACAUGGUUAUCUGGGUUUUGACAGAUGUUUAUUACUGAAAUAAAACCUUCAGGCACCUCCAUGAUUCCCUGUAACUUCUGUUCCUGGGAACCUCUCAAUAAUUUGUCUUAAUUGAUAAUUCAUCUUCAUAUUUGCUGAAACACUGAUGGCUCAUGAGCUACCAGUGAAACUCACAGCUAAUUGGGCGUUUAGAUAUUCUGAUAUCUGGACUUUCUGGCACAUUUUGAGAUGACAACACGCUGUUUAUCAUAAUGGUCUCACAAAGGAAUUGCUUUUAGAUAGGUUUGGAUAUAUUGUUUUGAGUUGUAACAUCCUGAAUAACUGAAAAUCAUAGAAUAACAGGAUCAUCUGAGUUGGAAGCGACACUUAAAGGCCAUCUGGCCCAACUGCCCUGCACUGAACAGGGACACCUACAGCUGAUCAGGUGCUCAGAGCCCCAUUCAGCCUGACCUGAAGUGUCUACAGGGACGGGGCACCCACCGCCUCUCUGGGCAACCUGUGCCACUGCCUCACUGUCCUUAUGGUAAGAAACUUCUUCCUUAUUUCCAAAACUGAGCUCCAGCAUCAGAUCUUGAUGCAUGUCACACCAGUUCUUCCUGUCGCUGCCUGGUAGCUGAUAAAUUGCUACAUUUCCCCAUUUUAUAACAUUUUACCUGGCAGAUGCUUCCCCUAAUCAGGAGACAAAUACUUCAGGAAUUGCUUUUAUGCCAUUUCUUUCCUUUCCCGAAAUUCUUGCUAGGUUCUACACUGGCCAGAGUGACAAUGUACUGUCAGUAAUAGGUGCAUGAGAGUUUUCUUCUAAAAUGCAGAUUUGUUGUCCAGUGACAUCAGCCAUACCCUUUCAGGUAUUUUUAAUUCCUGAUUGAUCUACAACAAACCAUAUUAAUGCAAAAUGUUCCAGGAAAUGAUUGCUUGUCAUCUCAAAUGAUAGAGUCUUGAUUUGCUACAUUCAUCUCAGGUUCCAAUUGUUUUGUCUCUGUGUAUGUCUGUGGAUUAUUCCAUUGGCUCUUUUUCCUUAGAGAGGUGUAGGUUCCUAAUCUCAUUGAUCUGGUUUCUUCAUAUUAGGUCAUGUUACAAGUUCCAAAUCAGAUUAAAACAAAAUCGGAUUAGCUUCUUGUUCUUAAACAGAGCAGCUUAAACGUCUGGACCUUGGACUUGGAAACAUAUAUUUUGCAGUAUUUAUCUAUUCCAACAUCCACUUGAUAUUUGAUCCAUCACUUUCUUUCAAGAAGUUUUUCCGUAGUAUGUAAACAGUGAAUUAAACUAACAGCCAAGAAAGGAGUUUUCAGAAAGGUUCUAUGCCAGUUCAAAUGACAUUUCUAUUCCCCAAAAAUGUUUCAUCUACCUUCCUCAAAAUCUUCUGUGAACGUGGCAUAUAAUGUGGUCUGCGUUCCUGGCUGAUUUUGUGUUCUGGCAUUUACAGUGCCUUCACUGUAUUAUUCAUCAUUACAAGAAGAAUUGUUUUCUGUGACAGUCAGACAACAGUGUCACAUUACAUAUUUCUAGGAAACGUGGAAAACGCAUUACUCAUCUGAUCAGACACUUCUUUUUGCUCCAAAAACAUCUCAUUUAUUAUGAGAACUUAACCUUUCCACAGAUGAUGUUUCUUAGAAAAAUGUAUGGAUUUUCUCCAGGUAGGGGUGUGUGAAGACUUUGAAGAAAGCUGCACUCUGUUCCCACCUUUUCUGCUACUCCAGGACGGGAAUUUAAUUGGAAGUGGAGUUCUCAAUCUGUAGAAAUGGUGAUAAUGUUCUCAAGUUCUUUACAACGGGUCUCAUUGGUCCCACUAUGGCAUUUUCAAAGUCUUAUGAGGGUGCUGAAAAAACCUACUGAAAACCUUCAACAUGCUUUGAAUGAGAGCCUGAGUAUCCAAUCACUUAGCUUUCCCAUUGAUAGGUGUCAAUAAAAACAAUAUGAAUCUCUCCAGACAUCUGCAGAUACUCAGUACUUAGCAGGGCAUGGAAUAUUUAUGCUGAGGAAGAAAUAUAAAGUAUUCAAAAAAGAAAAGCACGUUGUGUGUUAUAAUAUUCAGGUUUUUUCUUCCCUAUUUAAUUAAUCAGCAUUCUUAUUAAGGUAUCCAAGGGAUGGCCUUUAAGUUUUAAGUGUUGAUCAGGAUUUCUUGUAGGGGUUUAACUGUUUAUUGACUCACACAUUAACUCCAUGUGAAUUGAGCAUUCCUGGUGUUCUCUUAGCUUCCCAGCAGCACAUCUCAGUGUGCAGUUAAAGUAGAUGACCACAAGGUGGAGUCUUCUGCUCUCUCUGCAAGAAGCGUGCAGAAGAGCUGACUGCCGGAUUCCUUCAGCCCAGAGGGAGAUACCGAGUCCUACUCAUUUUGUAUAGCACUUAACUUGGACCACACUGAAGGAGCAGCAGCAGAUGCAGGAACAUUACUUAAUCAGUUGCUAAUCUGUCCUCAUUAACAAAGAAGUCCUUCUAGAAUGGAUAUUAAGACAAAGAGCUUUUGGCAUUUGUGCAGACUUAAGUGAACAUCUGUGUUUCUGAUGUCAGAAGAUUCAUUGUGUGAUAAUGGAAGUGAAGCCUCAAAGGAAAAUCCUUUUGCUGAUAAAAGAAAGUAUAAAGUCCAGAUAAUGAGAACAUGACAACAUAUGUGAUUUAAGAUGGUUGUUUAGACUACAGCUAGAACUGCCCGUGACUCAAGCACUUCCAAGGUCAACCAACACAGGUGAGCUCAAGCAGCACGGCACUUUGGAAACUGUAUAUAACAAAAAUGUUUUGCUAUGUUUAAUCAACAUCAAUCUUAACAUCAUUAUUCCUAUAAACUGAGGUGUGUCUUACGGGUCAAGUAAGGAGGAAUGAUGAAUCUGAUUGGGUUGGCAUUCAGCCUGUAGCAUGCUGCCUUUGUGUAAAGAUACUAAGAAUGGUUUUGUG
ensembl:lncRNA